GAUGAACGCUGGCGGCGUGCUUAACACAUGCAAGUCGAACGAUGAAGCCCAGCUUGCUGGGUGGAUUAGUGGCGAACGGGUGAGUAACACGUGAGUAACCUGCCCUUAACUCUGGGAUAAGCCUGGGAAACUGGGUCUAAUACCGGAUAGGAGCGUCCACCGCAUGGUGGGUGUUGGAAAGAUUUAUCGGUUUUGGAUGGACUCGCGGCCUAUCAGCUUGUUGGUGAGGUAAUGGCUCACCAAGGCGACGACGGGUAGCCGGCCUGAGAGGGUGACCGGCCACACUGGGACUGAGACACGGCCCAGACUCCUACGGGAGGCAGCAGUGGGGAAUAUUGCACAAUGGGCGCAAGCCUGAUGCAGCGACGCCGCGUGAGGGAUGACGGCCUUCGGGUUGUAAACCUCUUUCAGUAGGGAAGAAGCGAAAGUGACGGUACCUGCAGAAGAAGCACCGGCUAACUCCGUG
rnacentral:rRNA from 1 species